GGAAGUUUAACAUAACCACGCUGAAUCAGCCCGUGGAGAGGCCUCUGACUGUAUUCAUUCUCUGCACACUGGGAAAUUCACCACUCGUGGUCAAAGCUGAUCUUCCCGCAGCCAGUGUCUAGAGCUCCCCUCCGGCUGAGAACGCUUUCCGCCAUGCCCUGUGAUCGGUGCAACUGUUCACAGCCUCUCACUCCGGCAGACAGAAGGGUGAUCCUAACACAGGCACAGCCAAAAUUUGAUGCUGAUAUUUACAUAUACCUCAAACAGCAAGAACUGAAUACUUAACACGGAGAUAAGACAAAGAGAUCUGCACUUUCCUGGUGGAAGUUCUGAAGCAAAGUAGUAAGUUUAUUUCCUAAAUAUUAUGGGUUUUUUCCCCUCAAUCAAGAAGAAAAUUAUAGUCUAUAAGUAGUAAUUAGUGCUUACCCUAAAUGUCUACUGUAACUUAUUUUUCAUGUUUAGGUUUAAAACCAACUUCAAAAGCAUCUCUCAUGAUUGAAAUCAUAACGCAGUGAAAAGUAAGUAGUAAAAGUGAUAUGUUUCAAUCCCUAUUACAUAUUUAUGAUAUCAGAUAUAAUGAGUAAUUCCCAGAGUGGAGCUUUUCCUAAACUGCAAAAUAAUAUCUUGAAAUAUAUGCUCUACAGUAACCAGAAGAUUAUUCUUCACGCUACUGUGCACAGUGUUCCUAGACUGGGAUACAGAAUCCUGUUUUGCAGUCAAGAUUCUGUGAAUGCCCAGAAUACCAUUUCUAUCUAUUCAUAAAUGGUAAAAACUUCAUAACCAGUGCUUAUUUACACUGCAGCAAGAGGAAAACCCAAGCUUCAAGGAACAUUUAUUCUAAAAAGAGUUUGUCUGCUACAAAAUUUUAAUGCAAACUUGGAAGAUAGCUUCUUAUAGUGCUUCUCCGUGCUCCACAAUGUUCUAACCUGUUUAUUACAUGUAAAAAAGUACUUUACAAUACAAGCCAUCAUAAACUUACUGGAUUACACCAAGACUGAAGACCAAAUCAAUUUCCAUCCACUACAAAUUUAACCAUAUUCUAUUUCUUUGGUACGUACUAACGACACUCAGAGAUGUGCCUGAGACAACAAAAUGGCUUUGGGGAAAAG
rnacentral:lncRNA from 1 species